AUCACUUCUUCUCGUACAGUCGCGGUGAGCGCGAGUAAGUCCGAGCGAGCCGUAUAAGAGUUACAGCGCGUACCCAUUAGUAUCGUAAUACGAAUUUUCAACGGUUUUCCGAGUAAAUCGCUACAUUGUAAGAAGGAAGGAAGCCUAGCUCGAACCAUUCGAAUUACGAUUAGUUACACAAAAGAAAAUGAUUGAUCACCGAGGUCAUUUUUACUCAACUGUGAAGAGAGCAACGCGAGAGUUUCAAGUGGGUCCUUGCGGCAGCAAGGAAGGACACCGACUGAAAGGAAGGCUUGCAACAGAUGCAUAGUACUGUUGGUCAUCGGGGCAUGACAUCGGGGCAGAUAACAGCGGUGGAAGUUUGUUGGGAAGUUCCUACGUCCUUCGAGAGCCAUAUAAUCGACGCUGGAAAGAUCUACAAGCGAUCAAGGCAACGCGAAAACGAGAAAAUCAAGUUCCCAUCGCGUGCGCGAAUUCUCAACGUGUUUUAUCAACCUCGUUAACAGCGAUCGGGAAACGGCGGCGGGCUCUUGGACGAGUUCACGGACGAAAGCAGUGUUUAUUGUUGAAUAUGCAGGUGAAAAUGUAUGCGGAGUUCGUUGUAAAUACAAUGUUCCGUGGUGCGGAAUUUGUUCGUUGAGAACCCGCGAGCUCGUAACGAACAAAUACUAAAAACGGCUUCUUAAUAAAAUUGUUAAAUUUAUUUUCCCCGAUAGUUUCAUUUUAUGGAUUCCAUUGUAAUCGAACCAUUAUUCUAAAAUUUUUAUUUCGAAAGUCUCAAAAGUUAUUGGAUUUGCAACUAAUAUUCCAUAUUCAUAUACACGGAACCAUUUUUUUUUUCAAAUACAUAAACGAUUUCCAUUUAUAAAGUUAUGCUCAAAUGUAUCAAAAUUAUCUAAUCGUCUAAAGUUAAACAAAAACAGUUUUAAUAAUAUGCAGUCCAAAAAUAAAUAGUAAUGUUAGUAAUACUAUAUGUAGGUUAUAUAUAAUACUAUAUAUGUAUACGUUAGUAAUAAUACGUAUCAAUUAUAAAUGAAUGCUCCCAUAAUCUUACUUUUUCAUAAAAAGACAAACAUUAAUUAAUUGUUUAUCCCAUCUUUGUUGCAUGCAUUUUAUUAACGUCGACAAUUAUUCAAUAUCACCUGGAAGAUUCAUAUUCUAGAAUUCAUAUUCAUAUUUUAGGUUGCUUUUUAAAAUAAAAAUAUCAAAAUAAUGACUCGAUAGAAAUUGAUUACAUAGUAAGGAAUCGAAGAUUGCUUUAUUUCGAAUCUUUCUAUUUUCUGUUUGUAAGCUUUAUUAGUUUUAUUAAAAAAGAAAAAAAAAAAUUCAAUAACUUUAUAAUCGCAUUUGUUCGUGUCACAAAUUUUGGAGUGCAUUUCGGACACCCGGUACGUUUAUACCUGUACUACAGGUGCCGCCCUUUUCCGGACUGUUUUUCUCCUAGUCUGUCACAGGAAGAAGGGUGGACAAGACCCUCGUAACGGAAAGUUUCAGGCUGCACGCGUAAUUGAAUGCAGAAUUUGAAAAGGACGGAAGACGAAAGAUUAUGGGAACGUGCUGUCGGGUUCUUCGCGAUCCAUAAAUAUAAAUAUAUUCCAGCAAUUUUAUCGACUGGACGUCGCGUGAAUGAUGUCGUCGAUAAAACUGUCAGCUACAGAUCUAUCACUAACCCAUUCGCUAUCAAUUUAUUUUAGUUUCAAAAUCCCUGUUUAUUGCCUGCAAAAGUUGCAGGAUAUUCAAAUAAAUUUUUGUAACGGUACGGAAUUUUUGGUCGAAUGUCUUAUAAAUACACAGACAGAUAAUUGAGAAGGAAUUCUAAUUAGAAAAAUCUUUCGUUUACAUUCCGGACACUUUAAAUAUAUACAGUGGGUGGAGAAAGUACAGAAAGUAUGUGCUUAUUCGUACACCGAUCAAUUUCCAAAAAUACUAUGUGAAACUGUAAUUUAUUAACAUUUUUUUUUUUAUAAACAACGAUUUUCUACAUAUUCUUGAAAAUGUCUAGAAUAAGUACAGUACAAAAACAAAUUAGUUAUUUAUACAGGUUGCGAAAUUAAGAAGAAAAAAUAAUAAAUCGAUAGAAAUAUAGAAGCAAUAAGUAUUCGUACGAUUGUUGAAUUUUUAAAACUUCAUGAAAAAAAAAGAAAGAAAUUUACAUUAAUUUGUAAACGAUAUGAAUACUUCGUGGAAUUUUCCUUUUAAUUUUGGGAGUAACUUACAUACGGAAAUUUUGUAUACUUUUCAUGAACUGUAUAUGUGUAAUUUUUAAUGGCUUAGCAUUUAUCAAAACAAUGUAGGAAUUAAAAUAACUAUGAUAUUGAACAAUUAAAACGUAUACUUUGCGAGUUAGCUUUAGAAACGUAUACGUUAUUUCCAACGAUGACCGUAAUUCAAGUUGUAAUGUACUCGGUUCUUAAAUCGCUGCGUACUUUUUGAGUGUAUGUUCGAACCCCUGAUUGUUAUUUUUUUUUCGUUAAUCAUAUAUCUUUUAAUUAUUAACGAUAUUGAUUUCCAAGUUACUUAUCUUUAAUUUUGUAGUGGAAAUACAGUAGACAUUGUGUAGGAUAUCCAUAAUGUGCAUCGCUGUUCUUGUUGAUUACAGCUUUCACUUGUUUAAAUAAUAGUGUAUGUAUGUAUGUAUGUAUUUGCAAGAGUUUUGCAUGACCCCACUUCCGUUUAUAAAUUCCUUACACCUUAUUCUUAUUCCAACCUUAAAUUACCUUUAUCGUACCCGUUUAAAUAAUAGCGAAAUAAUAACAUAACGCAGGAUAAUAUAUUAGGUUGUCCCAAAAGUGUCUUUCACUUUAUUAAUAAGUAAUACAUGGACAAUAUUUUAUGUUUUAUGUUACAUUACUGAAUUGUGCACGAUUCAUUUUGCUCUAUUACUGUUACAACAUGAAUAUCUAUGAAAUUAGAUUGUCUAUUUAUAUAAACACGACCACAUAAAAUAAUUGAGUGCAACUCGCGAAAGAAACUUUCGGGACAACCUAAUAGAAGGACGGCUUAAAUUAUACAAAGAAAGAAUGUUAUGUUUGCUUUUCAUAACCUAAUAGUAUAAGUAGUGUAGGAUAGAUAGUACAACUGGUUUGAGGUAAGGCGUGCGAAACAGAAUAAAUUGUAAGUUGAAAUGUGGUGUUUGAAUUAUGAUAUGUUUGCCGCGUGCCGUAAGAGAGCGUCAUCUUAUGUGUUCCGUACAAUUUUACACAUCCUGUGUCGGAUGGUUUAGCGACAAUUGCUCGAAAUCGCUCGAAGCGAUCAGUUAUGUUAUAUUCACAAUAAAGGAAUAUUAAUUACUUUGAGAAUUAUGUUACUUACUUAAUUUUUGGUUUGUAUUGGUCUCACGAUAAUACUAAUCUUAGAAAUAUAUUAUUAAUAUUUAUUUAUUAAAUCAUACAAUUUAGAAUGUAUCCAUAACAUAAGGGAAAA